rnacentral:rRNA from 1 species
GAACCAUCGAGUCUUUGAACGCAAGUUGCGCCCGAGGCCAUCCGGCUAAGGGCACGCCUGCCUGGGCGUCACGCUUUCGACGCUUCGUCGUUGCCCCCUCGGGGGGUGGGGGCGAACGUGGAGGAUGGCCCCCCGUGUCGGAAAGGUGCGGUUGGCCGAAGAGCGGGCCGUCGGUGGUUCUCGAACACGACGCGUGGUGGAUGCCUUGUGCGAGCCGUACGUCGUGCCUUCGGAACCCGGGCGAGGCCUCGAGGACCCAAGUCGUGGUGCGAGUCGAUGCCACGGACCGCGACCCCAGGUCAGGUGGGGCUACCCGC